CCCCCUUAUAUUCCCCCUUGUUUCACUGCCCCAUAUUUAAAUUCACUUUCACCUUAUCUCUAAACAAGCCGCCUAGCACGAACAAAUACAGAACAUGAACCCUAGAUCUAGGCAAACUGAGUUUGGACCACCAUCAGAGUUUCUCUGUCGCCCAAACAUCGAUCUUCCAGUGGUAUAUACAGCUAAAUAAUGACAAGAAUGAACGGAACAAAGCCAAUACUCCUAAUAAUGGCAAUGGAACAGAGAAAUAGUACAAGAAGAUGAAGUUCUCACAACAAACGUGAAGCCUGGAUGGAGAAAUGGAACAAAGAUUACAGGAGAAUGAGUUACCAGGAAGUGAAACAUGAGACGAUGAUAAUAAUGGAAUAUGUGAUAUCCUCGGUAUGAGAAGAUAGUAGCAGGGCAGGGCAUGCCAAAGGCUGAAGAACCCGGGGAGGGGGUAAUCCGAUAGUUAAAUUUGUUGUAGAGUUUCCUAAGCAACUUACAGAUGAACAAAGCUCAUAUGUUUGUAACAUUUACACAACUUUUGUUUAUUAUAAAUGAAAUAGAGAAUUAUUAAAUGAAACAGAGAAUUAUUUAGAGAAUUCACAAAGAAGCUUACAAUGAAAUAGAAACAAUUGUCCAGAUAUGUAAAAGACAACAAACUGGAAAAUAAGAAACCAUUGUCUGACAUAACUAAACACAAAAGAAAAAGAAAAAGAAAACCGUUGUCUCAAAAUCUACAAACAACCUAUUGUCUAAAUCUAAACCAUUGUCUGAUACUCUUACAAACAAGUAAAUCUAACCACUUGAACUGUUGUGGGUAGUCCUACUAACAACACAAAUCUAAAAUAUGACCAUUGUUUUGAAAUGUUUAUAACAACACUUUGUUAAAUGGUUAUGUUGUUGUUUCUGGGUGUAACACAACACGAUGUUAAAUAUAAACCGUUGUGUUUCUUUAUUUCACACAACGGUACGUACCGUUGUCUGAGGUGCGUAUCAGACGGCAUCUCAAUAGACCACGGUUUUCUUGGG